UCAGUAAUGAUGGGUAGGGGAGCUUCCCAUACGGGUUGAAGCAUGACCGUAAGGACAUGUGGACAGUAUGGGAGUGAGAAUGUUGGCAUGAGUAGCGAGAUGUGGGUGAGAAUCCCACAGGCCGUAACCCAAGGUUUCCAGGGGAAGGUUCGUCCGCCCUGGGUUAGUCGGGACCUAAGCUGAGGCCGAAAGGCGUAGGUGAUGGACAACAGGUUGAUAUUCCUGUACUACCGAUAACCGUUUGAGAGA
rnacentral:rRNA from 1 species